AAUGAACGCUGGCGGCGCGCCUAAUACAUGCAAGUCGAGCGAGAAGACGUAGCAAUACGUUUGUAAAGCGGCGAACGGGUGAGGAAUACAUGGGUAACCUACCCUCGAGUGGGGAAUAACUAGCCGAAAGGUUAGCUAAUACCGCGUACGCUCCUUGGACUUCGGUUCAGGGAGGAAAGCGAUACCGUGGGUAUCGCGCUCUUGGUUGGGCUCAUGUCCUAUCAGCUUGUUGGUGAGGAACGGCUCACCAAGGCUUCGACGGGUAGCUGGUCUGAGAGGACGAUCAGCCACGCUGGCACUGCGACACGGGCCAGACUCCUACGGGAGGCAGCAGUAAGGAAUAUUGCGCAAUGGGCGAAAGCCUGACGCAGCGACGCCGCGUGGGGGAUGAAGGUCUUCGGAUUGUAAACCCCUUUCGGGAGGGAAGAUGGAACGAGCAAUCGUUCGGACGGUACC
rnacentral:rRNA from 1 species